UUGGAGGGCAAGUCUGGUGCCAGCAGCCGCGGUAAUUCCAGCUCCAAUAGCGUAUAUUAAAGUUGUUGCAGUUAAAAAGCUCGUAGUUGAAUUUCGGGGUUAGUAGAUUGGUCAUGCCAUCGGUAUGCACUGGUCUCACUGAUUCCUCCUUCCUGAUGAGCCGUAAUGCCAUUAAUUUGGUGUUGCGGGGAAUUUGGACUGUUACUUUGAAAAAAUUAGAGUGUUUAAAGCAAGCUAACGCUUGAAUACAUUAGCAUGGAAUAAUGAAAUAGGACGUUCGAUCCUAUUUUGUUGGUUUCUAGGAUUGACGUAAUGAUUAAUAGGGAUAGUUGGGGGCAUUAGUAUUCAAUUGUCAGAGGUGAAAUUCUUGGAUUUAUUGAAGACUAACUACUGCGAAAGCAUUUGCCAAGGAUGUUUUCAUUAAUCAAGAACGAAAGUUAGGGGAUCGAAGACGAUCAGAUACCGUCGUAGUCUUAACCAUAAACUAUGCCGACUAGGGAUCGGAUGAUGUUAAUUUUUUAAUGACUCAUUCGGCGCCUUACGGGAAAC
rnacentral:rRNA from 1 species